rnacentral:rRNA from 1 species
UACGGAGGGAGCUAGCGUUGUUCGGAAUUACUGGGCGUAAAGCGCACGUAGGCGGCUUUGUAAGUUAGAGGUGAAAGCCUGGAGCUCAACUCCAGAAUUGCCUUUAAGACUGCAUCGCUUGAAUCCAGGAGAGGUGAGUGGAAUUCCGAGUGUAGAGGUGAAAUUCGUAGAUAUUCGGAAGAACACCAGUGGCGAAGGCGGCUCACUGGACUGGUAUUGACGCUGAGGUGACGAAAGCGUGGGGAGC